CCAGGGCGUGGCUGAGUUAGUCAAGCAUCUCACUUACACCGAGAAGACAUCCA
rnacentral:tRNA from 1 species